GAUGAACGCUAGCGACAGGCCUAACACAUGCAAGUCGAGGGGCAGCACAUGAGUAGCAAUACGAUGGUGGCGACCGGCGCACGGGUGAGUAACACGUAUGCAACCUGCCUUCUACUAUGGGAUAACCCGUUGAAAGACGGACUAAUACCGUAUAAUACAGGGGCUCCGCAUGGAGAUAUUUGUUAAAGAUUUAUUGGUAGAAGUUGGGCAUGCGUAUGAUUAGCUAGUUGGUAAGGUAACGGCUUACCAAGGCAACGAUCAUUAGGGGUUCUGAGAGGAAGGUCCCCCACACUGGUACUGAGACACGGACCAGACUCCUACGGGAGGCAGCAGUGAGGAAUAUUGGUCAAUGGACGAGAGUUUGAACCAGCCAAGUCGCGUGAAGGAAGACGGUUCUAUGAAUUGUAAACUUCUUUUGUGCAGGAAUAAAGUGGGUUACGUGUAACCUUUUGUAUGUACUGUACGAAUAAGGAUCGGCUAACUCCGUGCCAGCCGCCGCGGUAAAAC
rnacentral:rRNA from 1 species